UUGGAGGGCAAGUCUGGUGCCAGCAGCCGCGGUAAUUCCAGCUCCAAUAGCGUAUAUUAAAGUUGUUGCAGUUAAAAAGCUCGUAGUUGAAUUUCGGGGUUAGUAGGUUGGUCAUGCCUCUGGUAUGUACUGGUCUCACUGAUUCCUCCUUCCUGAUGAACCGUAAUGCCAUUAAUUUGGUGUUGCGGGGAAUUUGGACUGUUACUUUGAAAAAAUUAGAGUGUUUAAAGCAAGCUAACGCUUGAAUACAUUAGCAUGGAAUAAUGAAAUAGGACGUUCGAUCCUAUUUUGUUGGUUUCUAGGAUUGACGUAAUGAUUAAUAGGGAUAGUUGGGGGCAUUAGUAUUCAAUUGUCAGAGGUGAAAUUCUUGGAUUUAUUGAAGACUAACUACUGCGAAAGCAUUUGCCAAGGAUGUUUUCAUUAAUCAAGAACGAAAGUUAGGGGAUCGAAGACGAUCAGAUACCGUCGUAGUCUUAACCAUAAACUAUGCCGACUAGGGAUCGGAUGAUGUUAAUUUUUUAAUGUCUCAUUCGGCGCCUUACGGGAAAC
rnacentral:rRNA from 1 species